GGCCUAUACUGCAGUCGAACGGUCUUUAGCAAUAGAGAUAGUGGCGCACGGGUGCGUAACGCGUAACCAACCUACCCGAAUCUGGGGGAUAGCCCGCCGAAAGGCGGAUUAAUACCGCAUAAAACCACAGGGUGGCAUCACCUAAUGGUUAAAGAUUUAUUGGAUUCGGAUGGGGUUGCGUGCCAUUAGCUAGUUGGGGGGGUAACGGCCCACCAAGGCGACGAUGGCUAGGGGAGCUGAGAGGCUGGUCCCCCACACGGGCACUGAGAUACGGGCCCGACUCCUACGGGAGGCAGCAGUAGGGAAUAUUGGGCAAUGGCCGAGAGGCUGACCCAGCCAUGCCGCGUGCAGGAUGAAGGCUUUCUGAGUCGUAAACUGCUUUUGCCAGGGAAAAAUAAGGGGGAUGCGUCCUCCGACGACGGUACCUGGUGAAUAAGCACCGGCUAACUCCGUGCCAGCAGCCGCGGUAAUACGGAGGGUGCAAGCGUUGUCCGGAUUUAUUGGGUUUAAAGGGUGCGUAGGCGGCCGAUUAAGUCUGGGGUGAAAGCCCGUUGCUCAACAACGGAACUGCCCUGGAAACUGGUUGGCUUGAAUACAGACGAGGGUGGCGGAAUGGAUGGUGUAGCGGUGAAAUGCAUAGAUACCAUCCAGAACCCCGAUUGCGAAGGCAGCUGCCUAGACUGUAACUGACGCUGAGGCACGAAAGCGUGGGGAGCGAA
rnacentral:rRNA from 1 species